AAACACACACGAAGAAAGAGUUUUUGCUUUGUCUUGUUUUUUUAAGGGUAAAUUGCGCACAGUAGCCGUUGACCCACUUUUAAUUUCAGAUUUUGACAUUGUGGACUGCGCCUUUCAUUUCUUAGACAUUCAGCCAAAAACUGACCAAAAUGCCCCUGACGAAAUUGAACCCGGUUUAUACGUACGGACCGCGUCGUUAGAAUCCAAGUGAAUCGGGUUCGUACGUACAUUGUUCAUCGUUGAGAAAUGCAUUAAAUGAUUUCUGGGUUUCGGCGAAUUUGACACUUGAGAUUGGAAUUAAAUUUUUAAAAAAUUAGUUGGGCUUAGAAGUUUUUAAUGCUAAAAAGUUUUGACAAGAUUAAAACUCAUGAUUACCUAUUAUAAUAGAGAUUAUAUUGUAAGAUAUUUACAUAAUUGAGAUUAGAAUUCUGGGGAAAAAAGAAAUUCGAAAUUGUGUUACGGUGAAGAAUCUGAAGUUUUCAGUUGCUGUUUUACAAAGUUUGAAGGAUUGAAGGAGAGACAAUCUGUGUUCUGGGUAAGAAAUUCGUGUUAAUCCUAUUAAUUACACUUGAGAACGUGAUAUGAAAAUAAUGAUACGUUUUUAAAAAUUUCUGGGUUCAUAAAUUGUUUUGUUGGAGAUUCUUUUUGUAUUUGUAAACCCAAAAUUAUCUAAAGCAAAUUGAGAACCGAAUGAGUAUUCAAAUAUAGUU
rnacentral:sRNA from 1 species